rnacentral:rRNA from 1 species
AAAUUGAAGAGUUUGAUCAUGGCUCAGAUUGAACGCUGGCGGCAGGCCUAACACAUGCAAGUCGAACGGUAACAGGAAGAAGCUUGCUUCUUUGCUGACGAGUGGCGGACGGGUGAGUAAUGUCUGGGAAACUGCCUGAUGGAGGGGGAUAACUACUGGAAACGGUAGCUAAUACCGCAUAACGUCGCAAGACCAAAGAGGGGGACCUUCGGGCCUCUUGCCAUCGGAUGUGCCCAGAUGGGAUUAGCUAGUAGGUGGGGUAAAGGCUCACCUAGGCGACGAUCCCUAG